ACGCUCGACACCUACGGGAGGAAGCAGUCGGGAAUAUUGCGCAAUGGAGGAAACUCUGACGCAGUGACGCCGCGUGCAGGAAGAAGGUUUUCGGAUUGUAAACUGCUUUAGACAGGGAAGAACAAAUGACAGUACCUGUAGAAUAAGCUCCGGCUAACUACGUGCCAGCAGCCGCGGUAAUCUGAGCGGGCUGGCAAGGC
rnacentral:rRNA from 1 species